UAAUAUUUAAAAGGAUGAUUGCAUGUUUGGCUUUGAAACUAUAUAUAGGUGAUAUUUUAGUUCUUAGAUUUUAAUUUAUAGUAAUUUUUAACUCGAAUCUUUAGAAUUAUUACAAUUAAGUCUCACAAUUCAGUUUAGUUGACUAUAUAUUGACGUACCGUUAAUGUAAAAAUAAUGUAGAAUCUUAAUUAGCGGCGUAUCAUCAAUCAUAGCAUUGCUACAUUGCUUCUACAUUAGUGAUACAUUAAUUUUUAGUCAGCUAAAUUAUAUUAUAGAAUUUAAUUGUAACAAUUUUGAAAGUUCAAAUAAAAAAUUAUAACUAAUUAAAAUUUAAGAAUCAAACUGUCACCCAACUUAAGUUUGAGAAUC
rnacentral:lncRNA from 1 species